CGUCACAUAACCUCUAGUCUCCUUCCCCAGAUCCAAAUUGCGAAGAAGUUGUCGUCCCUGCACAUGGCGGUUCCCGAUUGUGAUCCAUUUCUGAACUUGGAGGAAAUUGACGGUCAAGCUUCGGUGACCAAGAGAU